rnacentral:rRNA from 1 species
UACGUUCCCGGGCCUUGUACACACCGCCCGUCACACCACGAAAGUCGGCAACACCCGAAGCCGGUGGCCUAACCGCUAAGGAAGGAGCCGUCGAAGGUGGGGUCGGUGAUUGGGGUGAAGUCGUAAACAAGGUACC